CUCAAGCAUAUGAAUGCUGUAGACAGUUGAAUAGGAACCAUACGAAUAGGUUUACUCUCCUAGCAGUCAAACUGGAACAGCAUACAAUAAAUCCUUCCCCCAAUAAUGAGAUGACACUUCCCUUUGAGGGUUAAAACAGGAACUCCCUGUACUGUCACAUACAGUCUCUUUUAUUCCCAAUCACAAACAUAGUACAGCCCACAGGGCGUUACAAAACAGCCAAUUAAUCCAUACAAUACACCCAGACACUCCCACACAAAAUCCUCCCCUCUGGCUGUGAUAUGAUUACUGAACACAAUGGGUAAUCUAAUUAUCACAGCCAGAGAAAUACAGUUUCAUAAAACACAUCACAGGAACCCCAAAACAUG